rnacentral:rRNA from 1 species
UACAGGGGGUGCAAGCGUUGUUCGGAAUUACUGGGCGUAAAGCGCGUGUAGGUGGCGAUGUAAGUCGGGUGUGAAAUCCCUCAGCUUAACUGAGGAAGUGCACUCGAUACUGUGUCGCUUGAGUGUUGGAGGGGAUGGCGGAAUUCCCGGUGUAGAGGUGAAAUUCGUAGAUAUCGGGAGGAACACCUGUGGCGAAGGCGGCAUCCUGGACCAACACUGACACUGAGGAGCGAAAGCCAGGGGAGCAAACGGG